rnacentral:sRNA from 1 species
GUUCACCUUCGCCGCGUUCUGCUACAUGCUCACCCUGGUGCUGUGCGCCUCCCUCAUCUUCUUUGUCAUCUGGCACAUCAUAGCCUUUGAUGAGCUGCGGACAGACUUCAAGAACCCCAUCGACCAGGGGAACCCUGCGCGGGCACGCGAGCGUUUAAAAAACAUCGAACGCAUCUGCUGCCUCCUGAGGAAGCUGGUGGUCCCAGAAUACUCCAUCCACGGCCUCUUCUGUCUGAUGUUUCUGUGUGCAGCAGAGUGGGUGACCCUGGGCCUCAACAUCCCCCUCCUCUUCUACCACCUCUGGAGGUACUUCCACCGUCCUGCAGAUGGCUCUGAGGUCAUGUAUGAUGCGGUCUCCAUCAUGAAUGCUGACAUUCUCAACUACUGCCAGAAGGAGUCCUGGUGCAAACUUGCCUUCUACCUGCUCUCCUUCUUCUAUUACCUGUACAGGGACCCAGACCCCAAAGGGGUAUGGAAGGCCCAGGACUCAGCCCCAGGACCUGGAUCUGAGACCCCCUUCUCUCCCCAAGACUCGCAGAGUGACUCUCAACACCUCCCCAACCUCUGCAUGGCACGCAGAUCCUCAGGAGACUGCUGGAGACAGCUGCUCCCUCUUAACAGAGCAGUGCUAGAGGUCACUAGGGGCCGAGACA